GGUGGAUCCAUGAUGUGAUGAAGAAUUUUAAACUGCGUUAUCUUUCUAGAACUCCCAGUUUCUGGGAUUGAAGAAACAUUUGUUUAUGCUGAGAUCCAAC